AUUGAACGCUGGCGGAAUGCUUUACACAUGCAAGUCGAGCGGCAGCACGGGGGCAACCCUGGUGGCGAGCGGCGAACGGGUGAGUAAUACAUCGGAACAUGCCCAGUCGUGGGGGAUAACACUUCGAAAGAAGUGCUAAUACCGCAUACGUCCUAAGGGAGAAAGCGGGGGAUCUUCGGACCUCGCGCGAUUGGAGUGGCCGAUGUCAGAUUAGCUAGUUGGUGGGGUAAAGGCCUACCAAGGCAACGAUCUGUAGCUGGUCUGAGAGGAUGAUCAGCCACACUGGGACUGAGACACGGCCCAGACUCCUACGGGAGGCAGCAGUGGGGAAUUUUGGACAAUGGGGGCAACCCUGAUCCAGCCAUUCCGCGUGAGUGAAGAAGGCCUCCGGGUUGUAAAGCUCUUUCGGCAGGAACGAAACGGCGAGCUCUAACAUAGCUUGCUAAUGACGGUACCUGAAGAAGAAGCACCGGCUAACUACGUGCCAGCCGCCGCAGUAACAC
rnacentral:rRNA from 1 species